UCUAUUCUAUUACAGCGUCAUUUUAUCUCAAUUAUAACUAUCAACAACGGAUCUCUUGGCUCUCACAUCGAUGAAGAACGCAGCGAACCGCGAUAUUUUUUGUGACUUGCAGAUGUGAAUCAUCAAUCUUUGAACGCACAUUGCGCGGUAUGGCAUUCCGUACCGCACGGAUGGAGGAGCGUGUUCCCUCUGGGAUCGCAUUGCUUUCUUGAAAUGGAUUUUUUUAAACUCUCAAUUAUUACGUCAUUUCACCUCCUUCAUCCGAGAUUACCCGCUGAACUUAAGCAUAUCAAUAAGCGGAGGAAAAGAAACCAACAGGGAUUGCCUCAGUAACGGCGAGUGAAGCGGCAAAAGCUCAAAUUUGAAACCCUCGGGAUUGUAAUUUGAAGAUUUGGCAUUGGAGAAAGCUAACCCAAGUUGCUUGGAAUAGUACGUCAUAGAGGGUGACAACCCCGUCUGGCUAACCGUUCUCCAUGUAUUGCCUUAUCAAAGAGUCGAGUUGUUUGGGAAUGCAGCUCAAAGUGGGUGGUAAACUCCAUCUAAAGCUAAAUACUGGUGAGAGACCGAUAGCGAACAAGUACUGUGAAGGAAAGGUGAAAAGAACUUUGAAAAGAGAGUGAAAUAGUAUGUGAAAUUGUUGAUAGGGAAGGAAAUGAGUGGAGAGUGGCCGAGGUUUCAGCCGCCCCUCGUGGGCGGUGUACUGCCGACGCCGAGUCAUCGAUAGCGAGACGAGGGUUACAAAUGGGAGCGCCUUCGGGCGUUCUCCCCUAACCCUCCACACUGCCACCGACGACAUAAUCCACCCAUUUCACCCGUCUUGAA
rnacentral:sRNA from 1 species